CUGCAAACUUCAGGAGUUCCUCUGCAGGCGUCAAACUAUAUAAUGGAUUAUGUGAAGUUAUCCCCAGACAAAAUCACCACUACCAUCUGGAUGUUGUCCUUUACAGAUGCUGCCAAACCCGUUGCGUCUUUCAGGCAAUUUCUGUUUUGAUUUCUUUUCUCAACAGAAGUACCUUGACAAAGCCUCUUCCCCACUAGCUGCUAAGUAAUCAACUAUGCCAGACCUGCUGAUUUUCUCCAACAAUCUCUGUGCCUGCUGUGCCAUUCUGUUGCUGGUGAAGGGCAUUGCUGGUUUGCUAGAAUUCAUCCAGGUGUACAGCAGCCUUUCAAAGAUGGUGUGGUAGGUCUUUCAGUGGAUAUCCAG